AUCCUCCAGAUUUCUUACCCAUCAGACGCUAUACUCUGGUCUGAGUGGCUCUACAAGGAGAAGUAAAAGGGAAAGUGGCAGUGUGUGUGUGUGUGUGUGUGUGUCCUACAAACUAGUUUCAAAUAAAC
rnacentral:snoRNA from 1 species